UCUUCCACAGAUGACUUUCAAAAAGAACAAGGCAGAACUGACUGCAUCUAUUUCUGUCCGCAGGGAAUAAUCCUGUGUUCGAGGUAUCUGGAAGAGGCAGGGGAUCAAAAAUCCAUCACCUAUGCAAAAACAGAGCUUUUCAUAUAGUUCCUUUAUUAAAGCGGGAUAUGGCUGAGGAUAUACCACGUUUGAGGGGCCAUAAAUAAUGCCAAGAAGCUUAUAGGGAAAAGAAGACUCCACUCCUUCUCUCCAGCUUCCUACCACACAGCUGUACUGUGUCAUCCACAUCCCUCACGUAUGUAUGUAUUUGUUGUUUAUGUAGCUGUGCUUUAGGUCUCUCACACAUACUGUACGUAAGUCCUAAAUAUCCCCACUCACAGAGACUUUGAAGAGCCU
rnacentral:lncRNA from 1 species